UGGGGGGGGGGGCUCUCCCUUGCGGCAUCUGAUUGAGUUUACUGUACUCUGCCAGUGCCGCCGAGGGAUCGGGAGCGCAGCACCUCGCCGGAGUGAGGUAAGGACUUCCGGCACCUACUCACUCCCUCCUCUGCCUUCCCCUCCUUUAGAUCUACCGGCAAUGGCCGGAUCCGGCAAAGGGCCGGGAUGUAGGAAGAGCACAGAAAAAGAGGAAGAAGAGGGUAGGACCCUGCGGCCGCCGCAGGCCCCCGGCCGCGGUCACCACAGAUCUGGCACGAGGGCGCAGGAAGAAGAAGAAAACAAGGUUGCCCUCCACACAUUUACAUCAGCUUCACGUGUGCUUGCCCUCCUCUAGAUCUCUGGAUUUCGCCCCAUUUCUUCAGCACAUCCCCUUCGUGCAUAUAUUGUGGAGCUACUUUGCAGAGAAGGGCGCAAGAUGCAUAGUUUUGGAUGGGUUGGGCAUAAAGUCCGAGCAUUAGAGUUUUAAGUUAGUUAGUUAGUUUAUUUUUUAAUACCGAGAAACAUUUGAAGAUUUUGUAACUGUACCAGUUGGAUUAUUUGAAUAUGAUGGAUUUAUGUUUUUGGAUUA